rnacentral:rRNA from 1 species
GACGAACGCUGGCGGCGUGCUUAACACAUGCAAGUCGAACGGUGAGGCGCCUUCCUUUUUGGUGGGUGGGUAUGAGUGGCGAGCGGGGGAGUAACACGUGAGUAACCUUCCCCGUUUUUCUGGAUAACCGCAUGAAAGUGUUGCUAAUACGGGAUAUUCUGGGCCUGUCGCUUGAUGGGUCUGGGAAAGUUAUUGUUUCGGUGGUGGAUGGGCUCGCGGUCUAUCAGCUUGUUGGUGGGGUGAUGGCCUACCAAGGCGGUGACGGGUAGCCGGCCUGGGAGGGUGGACGGUCCUGGUGGGACUGAGAGACCGGGCUGACUCCGACGGGAGGCAGCAGUGAGGAUUAUUGAAGGAUGGGAGCCAGCCUGAUGCAGCGACGCCGCGUGAGGGAGGGAUGCCGUCGGGUAAUGAACCUCUUUCGAGAGGGAAGCAGGGCUGAAUCGUCUGUGGGUGGCUUGACGGUAGCUGGAUAGAAAGCGACGGCUAACUACGUG